GCCUGCCUUGCCAGGGCACAUCUUUGAAAUGCUAGGCUCUCCUGGUGAGUGCAUUCCAGUUCCACGGGGAGGAAACCAGGUGGGAUUAAAGGAGGUGGAACAAUGUCCAGGGGUGGGAGGGACCAACCUGCCCCUCACCCAGACUCCACACUGGAAUGAGCAUUGCAGACAAGGAGCUAUCUCCUAGGAAGCCAGGAUAUUGCAUUGGGCACCACAGAAGCAGGGCCACCCAUAAGAUAAGGAAAAAUGUUUUUAAACAAUUUUAUUUACAAAAAUGUAUUAAAGUACUGUUGUCAUCAUGGGAUUUCCUUACAGUUACAGUUUAGUGUUAUUUUUGUUUAGAAUUCAUUGGGGAUGAGGGGAGACACCAUAGUCUUUUCAGGACUUAGGGCCUUUAAAUAUUGUAGCUGUGCAGGGGCAGAAUGGAGGGGCAUGUUUAAGGGCCAUCCCUGAUCUCCCCAGGGGACUGGUGUCCAAAAGCCAUUAACUAAGGAGCCUGAAGUACUGGGUACCGUGCCUAGCUCUGGUAUGAAUUUACAGCAUCAAAUUUACUUUAUGAAACUGUAUGCAUUUUGGGGCCUUGAUUUCCUCACCUAUUAAAUGGGUAUAGUUACUAUUGCUCCACCUAUGUCACUGACCUUUAAUUGUCAUUCAGGCUAGAAAUGAACAGAGACAGCCGGAUGGGAGUGCCCAGGAGAACUUCAGGGACUCAGUUGUAAAGUUUAUUACAAAUGCAGAUUCACAGGCCCCUCUCCAGACCUCCGGGGUCCAAAUCCAUGGGGUUUGAGCUGAGAGAUCUGCAUUUGUAGCCACUCCUCUCUCCCCUACUCAAGUGAUCUGAUGCUCAUCACAGAGAGAACUCACCAGGAGCCAGAGAUUCGGGUUCCUCCAAUGGGCUGCCACCUCUGGCAAAUGGCUGAUGCCUCCUGCAUGAAAUCAGGGGACUGACCUGGGUGGCAUCUGCAGGUGCAGCCUUCGUGGUACCUCUCUGAAUGGCCUGGGCUGGGGCUGGCUGGCCAGUGGGAGGUGGAGAGGGCAACCCAGGACAGAGGCCCUGUGAGGCAGGGCCAGGACUUGAAGUCUGGUGCUGACAACUUCUCUAAGAGGAGGGUGGACCCCACCGCCCCAGCUUCCUGCUGGGCCCCAAGGCUCCGGAGACUCAGGUGGGCCAUCUGCUCAGGCCUGGGCUGGGGAAGGGGGGCAGACACAGACCGCCCAGUACUGAAUGGCCUCUCUGUUGGGCCCCAGCCUGAAGAACAGAUGGCCUGAGGGCCGCUGGUGCUGGUGGGUGAGGGGGCGACAUAGGCCGGGCCUCCCCCCUCCCGCUGGAUAAGUCACAGAGAUCUCUCUUCCUGAGUGAGAAAGCCCUCAAAAGGCACCCUUGGUGACAGCAGCCAGGAAGAAGUGAGUUUAAGGGGGAUUAGCAGGUCCCCACAGCAGGCUGCUGGGGGAAGGCUGGGAAGCUGCCUGGCACCUGCAGCCUCCACUGGAGCCAGAAGGGAAGUGGGGAUACCUGGUGUGGGAGGGCAGGGGCCGGCAGAGCUUUAGGCCCAAGGAAAGCCUAGGCAUCACUCACUCCCAACCUCUUUUUCUUUUCUUUUCUUUUUUUUUUUUUUUUUG
rnacentral:lncRNA from 10 species